rnacentral:rRNA from 1 species
CUUGCACGCUGGCGGCCUGCCUUACACCUGCCCGUCGAACGGUCCCCGGUCUUCGGCUGCUGACGAGUGGCGCACGGGUGAGUACUGCCUCGGAACGUGCCCAGUUGUGGGGGCUACAUGCUCGCCCGCGCAGCUAAUCCCGCAUACGACCUGCGGGUGAAAGCGGCUUCUCUCAAGACCUCGCGCCAUUGGAGCGGCCGCGGUCAGAUUAGGUAGUUGGUGGGGUAAAGGCCUACCAAGCCGACGAUCUGUAGUUGGUCUGAGAGGACGACCAGCCACACUGGGACUGAGACACGGCCCUGACUCCUACGGGAGGCAGCAGUGGGGAAUUUUGGACAAUGGGCGCAAGCCUGAUCCAGCAAUGCCGCGUGCAGGAAGAAGGCCUUCGGGUUGUAAACUGCUUUUGUCAGGGAAGAAAUCCUCUGGGUUAAUACCCCGGGGGGAUGACGGUACCUGAAGAAUAAGCACCGGCUAACUACGGGCCAGCCGCCGCCGUAA